rnacentral:rRNA from 1 species
GGGAAAAGCUCAAAUUUAAAAUCUGACAGUCUCUGGCUGUCCGAGUUGUAAUUUGUAGAAGAUGCUUCGGGUGUGGCUCCGGUCUAAGUUCCUUGGAACAGGACGUCAUAGAGGGUGAGAAUCCCGUACGUGACUGGCUGCCUUCGCCUAUGUGAAGCUCUUUCGAC